CGCAUCUGUGCAUGCAGCAUAUCAAUAAGCGGAGGAAAAGAUACUAACAAGGAUUCCCCUAGUAACGGCGAGUGAAGCGGGAAGAGCUCAAAUUUGAAAUCUUAAAGGGUUUCCCUUUACGAAUUGUAGUUUAAAGAAGUGUUUUCUGUUGAGGUUUUGGUAAAAGUUCUUUGGAAUAGGACAUCAUAGAGGGUGAGAAUCCCGUAUUUGACCUUUACUUUCAACUUUGUGAUACACUUUCAAAGAGUCGGAUUGUUUGGGAAUGCAGUCCAAAAUGGGUGGUAAAUUUCAUCUAAAGCUAAAUAUUGGCGAGAGACCGAUAGCGAACAAGUACCGUGAGGGAAAGAUGAAAAGAACUUUGAAAAGAGAGUUAAACAGUACGUGAAAUUGUCAAAAGGGAAGCGUUUGACACCAGUGUUGUUUUUCUGAAAAUCAAUUAAAGAACUGUUUAUGCUAAGUUGUUUAGACUUUAUCAGCUAACUGUUUAGUUUUGAGCUUUUCUUUAAUGCACUUUUCAGUUAACAAGUCAACAUCAAUUUCUUUUGCUGUAAAAAAGCUUGAGGAAGGUGGCUUGAGAUUCGUCUUAAGUGUUUAUAGCCUCUUGCCUAUGCAGUCGGAGAGAUUGAGGUCUGCAGCGUAGAUCCUUCGGGGCUAAAUGCAUUUGUGCUAAGUUAUAGCAUUUUAUAGACAACUUGUUGACUAUGAUUUGUCUUGUAGCUUACUCGCUUAUGUUAUUUUACCUACGCUUAGGAUGUUGACAGCAGUAUAGACUGU
rnacentral:rRNA from 1 species